GGCCUCGUAGCUCAGUUGGCAGAGCAUUGGACUAGUAUCCCAAAGGUCGCGGGUUCGAUUCCCACCGUGGCAG
rnacentral:tRNA from 1 species